AUCCUUCGGUUCAUAAGUGUGAUGAUUGGGUGUUCACAUUAUUGUGUGAGAUGUGCCUCCCUCUAAACCUUGUUAAGACUGUGGCACAUUACCCGUCUGACA
rnacentral:snoRNA from 1 species